AUGCCAGCAAAACAGUAACAUGAAACGACAAUAGAAAAGGAAAACAGCUGGCAAGCAACCAAAACAAUCAAAGCCUAGAAACUACCAACUCCAAAAGAGCAGAAAAAAAGCCAAUAACCAGCUUUUCUUCAAAAACCCAAUAUCAGCCAAUACUCUCCUCACCAUCUGAAACCUGAAACGAGUAUAAUGAGAGAACAAAUCCUUUGAAUGAACCUCCUCCAUUUUCAAAGAAAAAACGAAAUUAUCUUAGAUCCACUGGUUCCAAACCAAACAGUCCUUCAAUAUCGCCAUCAUCACAGAUUCAGGCACUCCAUUAACCCAACCCCCUCAAAUCUUUCUUCUCCGGCCUUCCAGCGCCAGUGUGUGAGCCGUUUCAUUAACCAAUCGAGGCACAGCAAGAAUCGCCUUCCACAACCAGUCGUUGAAAGCACAACAUACUCGCGAAGAUUAAAGCCCUUUCACAAGCCCUUGCUUCUGCCACAAACGCGUCAGCAACAUCUUUAAAAAUAUAAGUUUCUUCCCCUACAAUUUCACUUGUAAAAUCUCUGGCUAGAACUGCUGUUACAACGAGCCUCUCUUCUUUUAGAAAAGACGCAUCAAAAUUUAACUUGAUAAUUCCAUGGUCUGAGGGUCUCCAGAUUUCCUUAACCAUAGAUCUAGGAAAAGGACAGAAAUGCAUGUGAUUUAGACAAAUAUCUUGUUUAUAUCCCCAAAUAAACCCCAACACCACCUAUAGCGAAAAUUUAACCCCUUCAUGAACCAGUUUAUUUCUAUGAAACCAAAGACUCCACAUAGAUAUCGCAAUGAUUCGUUUUUUGUUGGUCAUCUGCUGCAGAAAAUGUUCUAACAAAGCGAAGCUUAUGACACAUUGAUUCUUCAAAGGACGAAAUCUUUACUUGCAGCGAAGCCCACACCCACUGCAGAACACCACAAGACCACAACAGGUGAUCAGAAUCCUCCAGCUCUGCCUUACACAGUGGACAAGAUACUUUCACACACAAAGUCCUACGCGUCAAAUUACCAAAGUGAGGCACCAGAUUAUUCACCAGUCUCCAAAUAUGUAUUUUAAUUUUCCCUGGAAUGUUCAACAACCAUAAGACUUUGUAAAAAUCUUUGUAAUCCUCAUCAAUAGAGGACAUGUAUAUAGUGUCCUGUAAAUAUUUUGUAUUUAGGACCCGAUACCCACUCUUAACAGUGUAUUCCCCAGAACCUUUAUGUUUCCAAACCAACCUAUCCUCCGGACCACUUUCAGAUAUGGGAAUAGAAAAAAUUCGAUCAGUUGUACUCUCAUCAACUAAGUUAUGAACCAGCUCCCUAUUCCAGGUAAUCAGGGAUCGUUUCAGAUGUUAAUGCGAUCACCCUUCCCAACCCGCCACAAAACC